rnacentral:rRNA from 1 species
CAAGUCGAACGUGAAAGGGAGCAAUCCUGAGUAAAGUGGCGUACGGGUGAGUAACGCGUAGGUAAUCUACCCCAAAAUCUGGAAUAACCUGCCGAAAGGCGGGCUAAUACUGGAUAGAGCGAUGGAAUCCGUAAUUGGGUUUUUCGGGAAAGGGAGCUCGCAAGAGCCUUCGUUUUGGGAUGAGCCUGCGUCUCAUUAGCUAGUUGGUGGGGUAACGGCCUACCAAGGCAUUGAUGGGUAGCUGGUCUGAGAGGAUGAUCAGCCACACUGGAACUGAAACACGGUCCAGACUCCUACGGGAGGCAGCAGUGGGGAAUCUUGCGCAAUGGACGAAGGUCUGACGCAGCCACGCCGCGUGAGUGAAGAAGGCCUUCGGGUUGUAAAGCUCUGUCGCCCGGGACGAAAAUCCUUUAGGUGAAUAGCCUAAGGGACUGACGGUACCGGGAGAGGAAGCACCGGCUAACUCCGUGCCAGCAGCCGCGGUAAUACGGAGGGUGCAAGCGUUGCUCGGAAUUAUUGGGCGUAAAGGGCAGGUAGGUGGUCUCAUUUGUCUGGGGUGAAAGCCUUGAGCUUAACUCAAGAAGUGCCCCAGAAACGGUGAGACUGGAGUCCUGGAGAGGGUCGUGGAAUUCCCGGUGUAGCGGUGAAAUGCGUAGAGAUCGGGAGGAACACCAGAGGCGAAAGCGGCGACCUGGACAGGUACUGACACUCAACUGCGAAAGCGUGGGGAGCAAACAGGAUUAGAUACCCUGGUAGUCCACGCUGUAAACGAUGGGUACUAGAUUUGGUGGGUCUUGACCCCCGCCGAAUCGGCGCUAACGCACU